CCUGAACUCUACAGGCUCCUAAAUAAAGAACCUAAAAUUCUGAAUAAAAGAAGUAGAGUUGGAGCCCAGAGACAGAGUGAGCUCAGAACGCAAGCUUGACAGCAAGACAAACAAAUUCCUCAAAUGAGACUGCCAGCCAGUAUUUGGGCUAUAAAGCAUGGCCAAUUUGCUUUCUCAGGAUGGAGAAUAUAAUCCCCAGAAGCAUUAUCGAGGGCACUUUUGAGUGCCUGAUUCCAUGUCUUUGAACAAACAAAGUCGCCAACUACAGUUCCUCUCUCAAGAGCAAAACCUGAAAUUUGUCAAGAAAUAGUGGACUUUUGCUCUUGUUGCCCAGGCUGGAGUGCAAUGGCGUGAUCUCGGCUCACCACAACCUCCGUUUCCCAGAUUCAAGUGAUU
rnacentral:lncRNA from 1 species